AGCGGAGGAAAAGAAACCAACCGGGAUUGCCCUAGUAACGGCGAGUGAAGCGGCAAGAGCUCAAAUUUGAAAGCUGGCCCCCUCGGGGUCCGCAUUGUAAUUUGCAGAGGAUGCUUCGGGAACGGCCCCCAUCUAAGUGCCCUGGAACGGGCCGUCAUAGAGGGUGAGAAUCCCGUCUGGGAUGGGGUGGCCGCGCCCGUGUGAAGCUCCUUCGACGAGUCGAGUUGUUUGGGAAUGCAGCUCUAAUUGGGUGGUAAAUUUCAUCUAAAGCUAAAUAUUGGCCGGAGACCGAUAGCGCACAAGUAGAGUGAUCGAAAGAUGAAAAGCACUUUGAAAAGAGAGUUAAACAGCACGUGAAAUUGUUGAAAGGGAAGCGCUUGCGACCAGACUCGCCCGCGGGGUUCAGCCGGCACUCGUGCCGGUGUACUUCCCCGCGGGCGGGCCAGCGUCGGUUUGGGCGGCCGGUCAAAGGCCUCUGGAAGGUAACGCCUCUCGGGGCGUCUUAUAGCCAGGGGUGCCAUGCGGCCUGCCCGGACCGAGGAACGCGCUCG
rnacentral:rRNA from 1 species